UGAUACUGUGUUUUGAUGGUUUCGCCAAAGUCAGCAGUGUUAGCCUUCUGUCUAGGCUCCACCCCACACUUUCGUGGCAACAACCAGCAACCAGGGUCUUCAGCUGGUAGCUGCUGAUUGCAUUAGAACACACGACUGCAUUGUGAUGAAGGCCGUUGUGGUAUUGGUUGCCCGAACAUCCAUCCUGAAGUCAUUAUCUUUCAGUUCGAAAAAGGAAAAGGAAACAUUAAGCGCAGUCUCCUGACCAGCGAGACUGUCAUUGAAAUGCACCUAGGGAUUACCUGGAAUUUCAUCCGCAUCUUUCCUUUGGUCCAGCCUGGCAGGGUAGGGAUGAAACAGUUGUCUUGGCCAGCUUUUCCCACACCUCGAGUGCCCCUGUGAGUGUCCAUGCACGAUGCUCCCUUUUGAAGCUCUCCACACACGACCUUGAUUUUAAAUGAUGAUACCUUAAGCCAGCGAGAUGGCUUAAUGGUCGUGAUGGGCAAGCCUGACCUACCUGAGUUCCAUGCCAGGAACCACACAGCAGAAAAUUGACUGCUCCAUGUUGUCCUAUGGCCUCCAUUUAGAGCCAUGGUACGGUU